rnacentral:rRNA from 1 species
GAUGAACGCUGGCGGCGUGCUUAACACAUGCAAGUCGAGCGAAGCAGUUAAGUUGAUUUCUUCGGAUUGAUUCUUGACUGACUGAGCGGCGGACGGGUGAGUAACGCGUGGGUGACCUGCCCAUACCGGGGGAUAACAGCUGGAAACGGCUGCUAAUACCGCAUAAGCGCACAGAGCUGCAUGGCUCGGUGUGAAAAACUCCGGUGGUAUGGGAUGGGCCCGCGUCUGAUUAGGUAGUUGGCGGGGUAACGGCCCACCAAACCGACGAUCAGUAGCCGGCCUGAGAGGGCGACCGGCCACAUUGGGACUGAGACACGGCCCAAACUCCUACGGGAGGCAGCAGUGGGGAAUAUUGCACAAUGGGGGAAACCCUGAUGCAGCGACGCCGCGUGAGCGAAGAAGUAUUUCGGUAUGUAAAGCUCUAUCAGCAGGGAAGAUAAUGACGGUACCUGACUAAGAAGCCCCGGCUAACUACGUGCCAGCCGCCGCCGUAA